UGGGGAAUAUUGCGCAAUGGGGGGAACCCUGACGCAGCCAUGCCGCGUGAAUGAAGAAGGCCUUCGGGUUGUAAAGUUCUUUCGGUAUUGAGGAAGGUUGAUGUGUUAAUAGCACAUCAAAUUGACGUUAAAUACAGAAGAAGCACCGGCUAACUCCGUGCCAGCAGCCGCGGUAAUACGGAGGGUGCGAGCGUUAAUCGGAAUAACUGGGCGUAAAGGGCACGCAGGCGGUUAUUUAAGUGAGGUGUGAAAGCCCCGGGCUUAACCUGGGAAUUGCAUUUCAGACUGGGUAACUAGAGUACUUUAGGGAGGGGUAGAAUUCCACGUGUAGCGGUGAAAUGCGUAGAGAUGUGGAGGAAUACCGAAGGCGAAGGCAGCCCCUUGGGAAUGUACUGACGCUCAUGUGCGAAAGCGUGGGGAGCAAACAGGAUUAGAUACCCUGGUAGUCCACGCUGUAAACGCUGUCGAUUUGGGGGUUGGGGUUUAACUCUGGCGCCCGUAGCUNACGUGAUAAAUCGACCGCCUGGGGAGUACGGCCGCNGGUUA
rnacentral:rRNA from 1 species